AACGGAGGCGCUCAAAGGUUCCCUCAGAAUGGUUGGAAAUCAUUCAUAGAGUGUAAAGGCAUAAGGGAGCUUGACUGCGAGACCUACAAGUCGAGCAGGGUCGAAAGACGGACUUAGUGAUCCGGUGGUUCCGCAUGGAAGGGCCAUCGCUCAACGGAUAAAAGCUACCCCGGGGAUAACAGGCUUAUCUCCCCCAAGAGUUCACAUCGACGGGGAGGUUUGGCACCUCGAUGUCGGCUCAUCGCAUCCUGGGGCUGUAGUCGGUCCCAAGGGUUGGGCUGUUCGCCCAUUAAAGCGGUACGCGAGCUGGGUUCAGAACGUCGUGAGACAGUUCGGUCCCUAUCCGUCGUGGGCGUAGGAAAUUUGAGAGGAGCUGUCCUUAGUACGAGAGGACCGGGAUGGACAUACCUCUGGUGUACCAGUUGUCGUGCCAACGGCAUAGCUGGGUAGCUAUGUAUGGACGGGAUAAGUGCUGAAAGCAUCUAAGCAUGAAGCCCCCCUCAAGAUGAGAUUUCCCAACUUCGGUUAUAAGAUCCCUCAAAGAUGAUGAGGUUAAUAGGUUCGAGGUGGAAGCAUGGUGACAUGUGGAG
rnacentral:rRNA from 1 species